AACGCGAAGAACCUUACCUGGGCUUGACAUGUGUCUGACCGCCGUGGAAACACGGCUUCCCUUCGGGGCAGAUUCACAGGUGGUGCAUGGCUGUCGUCAGCUCGUGUCGUGAGAUGUUGGGUUAAGUCCCGCAACGAGCGCAACCCCCGUCGCAUGUUGCCAGCAUUAAGUUGGGGACUCAUGCGAGACUGCCGGUGACAAACCGGAGGAAGGUGGGGAUGACGUCAAGUCAUCAUGCCCCUUAUGUCCAGGGCUACACACGUGCUACAUUGGCGCAUACAGAGGGCUGCAAGACCGCGAGGUGGAGCGAAUCCCUUAAAGUGCGUCUCGGUUCGGAUUGCAGGCUGAAACUCGCCUGCAUGAAGGUGGAGUUGCUAGUAAUCGUGGAUCAGCAUUGCCACGGUGAAUACGUUCCCGGGCCUUGUACACACCGCGCAUA
rnacentral:rRNA from 1 species